GUACCUCUUAUAGCUCAGCUGGAAGAGCGUGGGACUGUAAUUGUUAUUCGCCAGGAAACCCUGGUAUCCCAAGGUCCGCGGUUCGAUCCCGCGUGAGAGGAG
rnacentral:tRNA from 1 species